GUUGAAUCAUGGCCUGAAUCACUGAUUGAUCACUUGAGGCAAGCACCGAGUCAGCUGUGGGAGCACAGGUGAAGGAGGGAAAAUAUCUGAUCCCUAAAUAUGCCUGGUGCACAGAUGAAUCCAGCAAGGGCAACGCAAGCAAGUGGAGAGCGAUAGCAUACCAUCCCUCCACCAAGACAAUCUGCUUUGAUGAGGGGGGAUGGUCAGAGCAGCCAAUGGGCAGAACUGUGAGCUGUGUGGAUGAUUAUGACCAAGGAACUCGGUGAUGGUAUCCUGAACAUCUGCACAGAUAGUUGGGCUGUGUACUGGGGACUCACUCUUUGGAUUGCACAGUGGGCCAUCCAGGAAUGGACUAUCAGCACCUUACAAAUCAGGUGCAAAGAUAUGUGGUUAGACAUAUGGAAUAAGUUAAACACAGGACUGUACGUGUCUACCAUGUUUCUGGUCACCAAUCCCUACAGUCACUGGGAAAUGAUGAAGCUGACACACUGGCCUGAGUUUGAUGGAUUGAGAAUUCACCAUCUGAGAACAUCGCCUGUGGUUACAUCAGAAGCUUUGGCAUGCUGGACAAAAGACAAUAUGGGCAGCUGCUAAAGCAUGGGGGCUGCCCAUACAACUAUUUUACAUUGCCCAGGUAUGCUGAGACUGUGAUGCUUGCUUCAAGAUAAGACUGAGAUCAUUGCCCAGAGCAACAGCCCAUCUUGCUAGAGCAUGCAACCCUCUCCAGAGAUGGCAGGUUGAUUACAUUGGGCCCCUCCCUUGGUCUGAGGGGGUGAGAUAUUCCCUGACCUGCAAAUGGGCUAAUUCAGGCCUAUCCAGUACCAAAAGCAAACCAGGCGUAUACCAUCAAGGCACUUACUAAACUGAUGUCUGCCUACAGGACACCUCAAGUCAUUGAGAGUGACCGAGGGACCCAUUUUACUGGUGCAGUGAUACAAUGCUGGGCAGAAGAAAACAUUGAAUGGUGAUUCCACCUGCCAUAUAAUCCAAUGGGGACAGGUCUCAUUGAACAUUAUAAUGGUAUUCUUAAGGCUGCUGUAAAGACAGACUCUCAGUCCCUGCGGAUAAAGAGUUUAUCCUGGUGGAUAAAGAGACUCUAUGAAACCCUGUGGGACUUGAAUGAAAGUCCUAGAGAUGGCAGACCCAGUGCUCAGAAAAUGCUACAGACAUGGGCCUCCCUGCUUAGGAUCCAUAUUACAGGCACUGAUAAUCAG
rnacentral:lncRNA from 1 species